rnacentral:rRNA from 1 species
UGAAUACGAGACGCUAAGGCGUCGAAGUAGUGUAUGUCAUACUUCCAAGAAAAGCUUGCACUGUCAUAGAUAAAAAACGCCUGUACCAUAACCGACACAGGUGGGUAGGUAGAGUAUACUAAGGGGCGCGAGAUAACUCUCUCUAAGGAACUCGGCAAAAUAACUCCGUAACUUCGGGAGAAGGAGUGCCUUAUUAUUAAGGCUGCAAUAACAAGAUCCAAGCAACUGUUUAUCAAAAACACAGGUCUCCGCUAAGUCGUAAGACGAUGUAUGGGGGCUGACGCCUGCCCAGUGCCAGAAGGUUAAAGAAGUUGGUUAGCAUUUGCGAAGCUGAUAACUGAAGCCCUGGUGAACGGCGGCCGUAACAAUAACGGUCCUAAGGUAGCGAAAUUCCUUGUCGGGUAAGUUCCGACCCGCACGAAAGGCGUAAUGAUUUGGAUACUGUCUCGGAGAGGGGCUCGGUGAAAUAGACUUGUCUGUGAAGAUGCGGACUACCUGCACCAGGACAGAAAGACCCUAUGAAGCUUUACUGUAACUUGAAAUUGAAAUUGGACUUUAUUCGCGCAGCAUAGGUGGGAGGCGUUGAUUAUAAUCUUGUGGGAUUAUUGGAGCCAUCAGUGAGAUACCACUCUUGUAAUGUCAGAUUUCUAACUUUGAAUCAUUAUCUGGUCAAGGAACAGUUUCAGGCGGGCAGUUUGACUGGGGCGGUCGCCUCCUAAACGGUAACGGAGGCGUACAAAGGUUUCCUCUGAACGGUUAGAAAUCGUAUCUAGAGUGUAAAGGCAUAAGGAAGCUUGACUGUGAGACCUACAAGUCGAGCAGGGACGAAAGUCGGUCUUAGUGAUCUGACGGUACUGAGUGGAAAGGCCGUCACUCAACGGAUAAAAGUUACUCUAAGGAUAACAGGCUGAUCUCCCCCAAGAGUUCACAUCGACGGGGAGGUUUGGCACCUCGAUGUCGGCUCAUCGCAUCCUGGGGCGGUAGUACGUCCCAAGGGUUGGGCUGUUCGCCCAUGAAAGCGGUACGCGAGCUGGGUUCAGAACGUCGUGAGACAGUUCGGUCCAUAUCCGGUGUAGGCGUUAGAAUAUUGAGAGGAGCCUUCUUUAGUACGAGAGGACCGAGAAGGACAUACCUCUGGUGUACCAGUUAUCGUGCCAACGGUAAACGCUGGGUAGCUAUGUAUGGAGUGGAUAACCGCUGAAAGCAUCUAAGUGGGAAGCCCACCUCAAGAUAAGUAUUCUCC